rnacentral:rRNA from 1 species
UUGGGUUUAAAGGGAGCGUAGGCCGGAGAUUAAGUGUGUUGUGAAAUGUAGACGCUCAACGUCUGACUUGCAGCGCAUACUGGUUUCCUUGAGUACGCACAACGUUGGCGGAAUUCGUCGUGUAGCGGUGAAAUGCUUAGAUAUGACGAAGAACUCCGAUUGCGAAGGCAGCUGACGGGAGCGCAACUGACGCUUAAGCUCGAAGGUGCGGGUAUCGAACAGGAUUAGAUACCCUGGUAGUCCGCACAGUAAACGAUGGAUGCCCGCUGUUGGUACCUGGUAUCAGCGGCUAAGCGAAAGCAUUAAGCAUCCCACCUGGGGAGUACGCCGGCAACGGUGAAACUCAAAGGAAUUGACGGGGGCCCGCACAAGCGGAGGAACAUGUGGUUUAAUUCGAUGAUACGCGAGGAACCUUACCCGGGCUUGAAUUGCAGAGGAAGGAUUUAGAGAUAAUGACGCCCUUCGGGGUCUCUGUGAAGGUGCUGCAUGGUUGUCGUCAGCUCGUGUCGUGAG